GACAGAGGGUGCAAACGUUGCUCGGAAUCACUGGACGUAAAGGGCGUGUAGGCGGGAAGGAAAGUCAGAUGUGAAAUCCCUGGGCUCAACCCAGGAACUGCAUUUGAAACUCCCUUUCUUGAGUGUCGGAGAGGAAAGUGGAAUUCCUGGUGUAGAGGUGAAAUUCGUAGAUAUCAGGAGGAACACCGGUGGCGAAGGCGGCUUUCUGGACGACAACUGACGCUGAGACGCGAAAGCGUGGGGAGCAAACAAG
rnacentral:rRNA from 1 species